CAGACACAGAGACGGGUUCUAAAAGGAGUUUAGUAGCAGACACAGAGACGGGUUCUAAAAGGAGUUUAGUAGCAGACACAGAGACGGGUUCUAAUAGGAGUUUAGUAGCAGACACAGAGACGGGUUCUAAAAGGAGUUUUGUAGCAGACACAGAGACGGGUUCUAAAAGGAGUUUAGUAGCAGACACAGAGACGGGUUCUUAAAGGAGUUUAGUAGCUGACACAGAGAUGGGUUCUAAAAGGAGUUUAGUAGCAGACACAGAGACGGGUUCUAAAAGGAGUUUAGUAGCAGACACAGAGACGGGUUCUAAAAGGAGUUUAGUAGCAGACACAGAGACGGGUUCUAAAAGGAGUUUAGUAGCAGACACAGAGACGGGUUCUAAAAGGAGUUUAGUAGCAGACACAGAGAUGGGUUCUAAAAGGAGUUUA
rnacentral:lncRNA from 1 species